rnacentral:tRNA from 1 species
GCGGACUUGUUGGAAUUGGCAGACAAGCAAGACUAAGGAUCUUGUGCUAGCAAUGGCGUAUGGGUUCAAGUCCCAUAGUCCGCACCA